UGUCCUUUCCAGUUAUAGCUAAACCACCAGGGUCAAAUUUUAUUUUGCACUCAAGAUCCAGAGAUGAAUACUAUUGCAAAGCCAGGAAUAUCCAGAGAGAAAGUGCUCCACCCUCUGAAUCAUGUGCAAUUCAGAAGGGAAGCACAAUGAGGGAGUAGUUCUAAGAGGGAGUAUUGAUCGGACUGCUUAGGUUCUCAUCCCAGCUUCAACAUUUACCAGCUCUAAGAUCUGCAAAGGGUGAAAAAUUAAGCCAUGCGUUUCUAUUAGCUGAACAGCACAAUUGGUUUGCAAGGCUAGAUGACCAAUACCAGGUCAGAUGAGGGCACUGAUGAAAAAGAACACAGAGCAGGCAGAACAACAAGGCCGAGAGUCCACACUGGAGAUGGAGAAGCAGGAUGUUUUAAGGAAAUGACCUUGAUGCAAUGGUAACCUUCCAGUGUACAACCAGGAGAACUAUCCCAGAGGUCACAGAAUAGAAAGGUUCAGAGACUAAACUGAAAUUGUCAAAGCUGAUGGUUAAUCGAAUCAAUGUAAAACAGAGUGAGACUCAAGAAGAAAGAUAUGGUGUGGUGAAGACACCAGAGAGGGUAGAGGGUUAAAAGAACCAUGCUAUGUGAGUUCUGCAUCACACUAUGUUUCUAGGUCUUAUCUCUCUCUCCACCUUAUCAGCUCUCUCUAUUGUCUGCAUGAUUACAAGCACUAGGGUUGAUUAUGAGCAAGGGACUCAGCAGAUGGGUAGUGCCUGGAGUCAACACUUGCGCUGUAGAAGAGACACAGGGGCAAGUCAGCUUGGUCUCAGCUUCCACAUUAACUUACUGAGCAGCUGUGGAUUCUAUCUGCACAUCUCAGGCAGAGGAUACCUGGCCAGAAUGGAUGUCACUAGUGAGUUGAGGCAAUUUAAACUCUCAUGCCUAUUCAGUGUCCCAUGAAUAUUACAUUUGGCCUCUCUCUUAACUCAUCAACUUUUAACAGACCAUGAAUUUUUGCUGCCUUUGGUCUUUCCAUCCCCACCUUUGUUUAACACACUGAUGUGCUUCUUUCUCUCCCUGUAUCUGAUGUAGUUCACAGGUCAUUAACUUGCUAUCUAUGCUUAAUACCUACUAUGAGCUUCUGUGUCUCACAAGCUCCUUUUAUACUUACUAUUUAUAUUUAGUAUUUCUUGAGAGUUGUAUCAAUUAUAUUUGCUUUUCUUGUCUUUUACAAAAUAAUUGAAUAUUCUUAAAUAACACAACAGACACCCCUUACAAGGAGGAGGGUAUGAACAGAGAAAGAGAGCUUGGGAAUAUGCAGAGGGUGGACUUCUGUGUGUUUGUGGAAAUUAGUUCCAUAAUAUGGAAUUGCCCUCUGGGAGCUGACAAGGAAUGGACAAAGUAUUCCUCUUCCCUCUGGGUCCUUCCCAUAUUCCCUCUCAGUCUUAACAUUCUGGACUGUGUCUAUUGGUUUGCAUGGAUGAUUUAUAGCCAGGCACCGAAGAAUACUCUCUACAUAGCUGUAUACUUAGAAACAGCCCUUUUUAUACACUGUAUUAUGCUGUUCAUUCCUGUACCAUUACAUCUUUCCCUAGAACUAAUAAAUGAUUUACUUUGCAUCCACAAGGCUUAACUAGAAAAGCAUACCAAAAAUCAGAGUGUCCAAGUAUUGAAGAAAGGGAAAUACAGACUUUCCCAGGCAGAUGACUCCUAAAUUGUUCAAGAUAGAAUUCAGACACAGUAUUUUGAUUGUGAGUAAGAUUAAACUGGAAUUCAUCAAGUAUCCUAGCCUAUAAUUCCUAUAACAACUCAUUUAUGUUUUCUGUUCAAGCCAUACAUUUGAUUCUGACCGUUCAACCCUGUAAAUUCCAGCUGAACUUUAGCUAAGUUCUAAUAUAAGAGAGAAAAAUCCCCACUAUUACUUACAGUAUAAGACUUUCUUCUUUGUUUUUCAUCUUGGAUCGUGGAAAUCACCAAAGUUUUACUGUUGUGUCUUAAGAUUCUGAUCCGAGGGGGUGGGUAAGUGCUAAUCCAAUAUAUUUGGUAAUUUCUAUUUUACCAGGCAGUUACUCUGUAGGAUGUCUGCCACACUAAGACAAAUACAUUUUAAAAAUAAAUAUUUUGCAAUUUGAAUUUUCUUAUCCAGGUAACUUAAUAAUCAUCUAAAACUGUUAUUAAGGCCAAAAGCUGAAGAUGUCCAGAUGCAUAACUAACAAAAUACUUCCAUGAAAACAGAUGCCAGUUUCAUCACAGGAAAUCCUGACUGCCAAAACUGCACUGUUUAGAGUCACAUACUGUUUUAAUUCUAAAAGUUGGUUUUAACCAAGGUGUAUUUUAUGCUUAAUUUUUAAUGGGAACCAGUUUUCUAUAUUUUAGAUACAUUUUUCUAUUUAGAGAAAUUAUGAGAAAGAUUAUGAGGAAAUAUUCAAAGUUUUUAAAAAUUAAAGUUUAUUUUUUAUGAUUAUUUGAUAAUGAAACUGGUUGUGUAAAGUGAUGCAAAACAGUGCUAAAUUGAUGUUAAUGUGUUUUUGUAAGCAUAUAUUUGUAUACUGAAUAAAAUAGCACUUUUCCUUGAAUAUAUCUGGGGUGGGAAAUUACAAGAGUGAAGAUUUCAAUGCAAAGAAUAAGUAUAUACAAGAUAGUAUAUAUAGUUAAAUUCAGAAAUGUCAAAUAGGUUUUAUUUUUGUAUCCCAUAUAGUAAAAAAGCUUAGCAAAGUGGCUCAUACAAGGUGCUACUGUGCAUUUGUUGAAUAAAUAAAUGUAACAUUUUA